ACUCUCUUUGGCAGAAUAUACACUAAAAUUGGAAUGAGACAGAGAAGACUAGCAUGGCCCUUGUGCAAUGAUGCCAGGCAAAUUCAAUAAUUUUGCAAAUCAUUU